UGUGUGUGUGCAUUAAGUUCUUAAGUCAGCAGUUGGGAUUGGGCGUCGUUAGGGUUUUUAAAGAGGGCUGCGAUCUUAAGAAUGGUUGUGCUUCCUGUUAGGCCUUGGGGUGAUGCCUAAGAAUCUCCCUCUCGUGCCAGGUCGGGUCGGCAGCAGUUCUGGUCGGAACCUUUGGGUCAGCGGGCUGUCCUCCACAACACGAGCUACGGAUCUCAAGAACCUUUUCAGCAAGUAUGGGAAGGUUGUCGGGGCCAAAGUGGUAACGAACGCCCGCAGCCCGGGGGCUCGAUGCUAUGGAUUUGUCACCAUGUCGACAUCUGACGAGGCGACCAAGUGCAUCAGCCAUCUCCACAGAACCGAGCUGCAUGGACGAAUGAUCUCCGUGGAGAAGGCCAAAAAUGAGCCUGCUGGGAAAAAGCUUUCCGACAGAAAAGAGUGCGAAGUGAAGAAGGAAAAAUUAUCGAGUGUCGACAGACAUCAUUCUGUGGAGAUCAAAAUUGAAAAAACCGUAAUUAAGAAGGAAGAGAAGAUUGAGAAGAAGGAGGAAAAAA
rnacentral:sRNA from 1 species